GUAUUAUGUUUACCUCAUUAGUGGAGCCUCAUUCUACGGAUGUGAAAAUAUUUAUGCUAGUCGCACUUAUUGGGAAUUUGUGGAUAGAACAAUAAAAUUAUUUUCCUAGCUCAGUUAGCUCACUAUAUAUUUUUUCCCAUUGACUUUACCAGUGAGAGGAAGAUGAAAACAGUAUGAAUGAGUAUGCAACAUUGUCUCAAAGUCAGCCAGCCUGGUAACAUUUUAUUCAGCCAAUACCAAUUGUGAAUACGGGCAAUGAGCAGCAAGACAUUGGAGAAGGGUUCCCCAGGGAGAUAUGAGGAAUUCCGGAGACAGUGGUGCUGCCCAGCUGCAUGUGUCCAGAGGUCACUCUGCUGCUCUGUUUGGGGUCAGAGAAGUAGGGAAAAGAAUGGAGUGGACAUGGAGUGCCGGCAUCAGAGCUUUUGCCAAGAUCAAAAUGUUCCCCAUCGCUGUGAGCAGAUGAGAGCUUGGAACCUGGACUCACACAGUCCCAGCUCCAGCAGGGCUUUUGGCAACAACCCCAGUGUCUUCAGCUACAGACACCACCUCUGUGAAUGCCAAGAAAAGCAAACACAGGCCCCAGAUCUCCUGUUGCACCAACUGGAAAGAAGCCCACAGCAGAGGAGCUGAGCUGUGAGGACAAUCUUCCCGUAGCUCUUAAUUUUCCACCAUUCUUCCCUCAUCUGAAUCAAACAAACAACACGCUUAUAAUAAAAUUUGCAGGUGUGGCUGAUUUAUAUUCUGGGAUUCUUUUUUUGAUCAAAUUCCCUAUAGGAUGCUGGGAGAAAAUGGUGAAUAAAGCUGUAUAAUGCAGUAUGUCCCAGACUUUUCAGUCUGAAUAGAAAGGGAGGAAAACCUGGAAAAGCAGAGAUUUCAUUUCCCCCUUGGGAGCUGGCUCUUUUUAGUGGCCCAGGAUGGUGUCACUCAAAUCCUCUCCAGACAACCCUUUGGAAAUAUGUUCCAUGUUCCUCUUCUUAGGGAUGUGGGUAGGAGUGGGGGUGGAGAUGGUUCUGUAAAGCUUGAAGAGCAAGGUAAUAACGUGGCACUUUAAAAUCCUGGCCCUCCAAGAUUUGAGACAAGACUGGGAAUUUAUUUGGGGAAAAUGCUUUUCUCAGCCUUAGGAGCAGGAAAGUAGAAUUACUAAUAUCAAGAAUGAUAAUGGCUACCAAGGAGAAGAAAAUGUUCAUAGUUUACCAAAGCAAAAUGUGAGCCAUUGGUGGCACACAGAUGAGUGGGGAAUCUGCGAUCUGAUGCAUCUCAAUUUCCAGAAAAGAAAGAACCUGGAGGCUAUUGGUUACUCAAGUCUUCAGAUAUUUCCAAGG
rnacentral:lncRNA from 1 species